UUUUGGAAGGGGAUGUGCAGGGAGAGGAAGACAAAAAGGUGGAAGAGGAGGAACGUUCUUUAGGAUUACAAUACCACGUGCAAAGAAAUAUAAGCAGCAAUGGCUAAUAACAGCACUUCAGAAACAUAGUCCCAUACCCUUCAAGCCACUACAUUACUGCACAUCAGGUCAAAGCGUUCACUUUUAUGUGGAGGAUGAGGCCGCUGCCAGCGCCCUGCACAAACUGUCACGCAGAAUCACGGACAGCGAGGGGUUCAAAGUGGUUGUCUUCACAAACCCUUGUUUAUAUCCUCCUUUCCAACAAACCAGCCUGAAGCCAGAACAUCUGAAGCAUUUAAAG